CAAUUUCUGAGGAUCUGACGAGGAUCUCAUGAGCACCCGCAGCGAUCUACAACCAUGGCCGGGAUCUUGCCGUAUAUAAUUUGUUCUUUCCCGUUGAAGUACAGCAUGUUUAUGGGGGACAUCUUGGUGGGCGUGCAGCAAGGGCCCGCCGAACCUCUGGGGUUUGCUUGGUGUACAAGGUGGGUGUGGGGGUAUUUUUGUAAAAACACAAACUCGCAUUCUCCGGAGCAGUAAUUGGCUUUGUAUCUCUUAGGUGCAAUAAUCCAAUCCCACCCGAAAGCUUCAAAAUCCACGGUCAGCGGGUAGCGACAACAUCGGGAUUCUGUGGAGUGCUCGUCACAGUCGAGACCGAAAUCUCUGCGGGACCGUUUUGGCGUGUCUGUAACUCUGACCUCUAAAAAUGGGUUCUGUGAGGAGAGGACAAGGAAUUGGAAUCAUUACUGAGACUUCAGCCAGCAGCCUGUUGGGAGAGCCCGAGGAGGAGUUGUGUGGCUCUACAGCAGGGAGACAACUCUCUCGGAGGAGCAGUGGGAGGCGAAAACAGCAGGGUUACUUACACUCCGUAGGCAUUGUGAUAAUCGUUUCGGUGGUGGCAUGAUAGUCAUCAUCUUCCAAAGAGCCAUCACUACUGUCAUCUCUCUGGACGUCAUACUGAUCAAUCAGUUCCUGUAGUGGAGGAGCCUUGGGUAAAAGUUGCUUAAUAACAUCCCUGCUAAUGUUAGGAGCUUGUUCCAGGCGCAGUUUGCUGAGGAUUUGAAUUUUUAUGGCUUCUAUUCUGGAAGAUUUUGUAUUCUGUCUCCACGUACAAGCAUUGCACAGUCCGUCUUUUUCAGCGUUCUCUGUGGGCUGACUACUGUCAUCAAGAGCCACCGGAUCAACUGAAAUCAGCAUGAGCAGGGCUACUUUGUGAGGAGUUCCUUUCUCUGAAGAUGGAAUAAACAAC